rnacentral:rRNA from 1 species
UACGUAGGUCCCGAGCGUUGUCCGGAUUUAUUGGGCGUAAAGCGAGCGCAGGUGGUUUAUUAAGUCUGGUGUAAAAGGCAGUGGCUCAACCAUUGUAUGCAUUGGAAACUGGUAGACUUGAGUGCAGGAGAGGAGAGUGGAAUUCCAUGUGUAGCGGUGAAAUGCGUAGAUAUAUGGAGGAACACCGGUGGCGAAAGCGGCUCUCUGGCCUGUAAGUGACACUGAGGCUCGAAAGCGUGGGGAGCAAACAGG